AUGGAUUCGAGGAUAGCUUUCUCUUGCUGUGCUCUGCUACUGGUGGUCACACUGUUGCCUCUUUCCGCAAAUGCGUCGAGCAAACUCCACAUAGUGUACAUGGGGGAGAAGAAACAUGACGAUCCAUCUGCUGUCACGGCGUCACACCAUGACAUACUAACCUCCGUUCUUGGGAGCAAAGAUGAAUCCUUGAAGUCGAUAGUUUACAGUUACAAACACGGAUUCUCUGGGUUUGCGGCAAUGCUCACCAAAACCCAAGCUAGGACGUUGGCAAAAUUUCCUGAAGUUAUAAGUGUGAAGCCUAACACUUACCACAAGGCGCACACAACUCGAAGCUGGGACUUCCUUGGCCUUGGACACAACAAAUCACCACAACAAACUGACCUCCUCCGAAAAGCGAAUUACGGUGAAGAUAUCAUCAUCGGGGUGAUCGAUUCAGGCAUAUGGCCUGAAUCACGAAGCUUUGAUGACAACGGAUAUGGCCCUGUGCAGGCACGGUGGAAUGGCAUAUGCCAGACCGGAACAGCGUUCAAUGCAACGAGUUGCAAUAGAAAGAUCAUCGGCGCACGGUGGUACUUCGAGGGAAUUAAUGCCAUGCACCUCAAGGGUGAGUACAUGUCACCUCGGGAUUUCAGCGGCCAUGGCACUCAUGUUGCCUCGACGAUUGCCGGAGGAGAAGUGCAGGGUGUGAGCUAUGCCGGCCUAGCCACCGGCAUGGCACGUGGCGAGGCACCACGUGCACGGCUAGCAAUUUACAAGGUGUUAUGGGGCCCGAACACAGCAGCCAGUGACGCGAGCAUCCUCGCAGCCAUUGACGAUGCCAUACACGAUGGUGUAGAUGUCUUAUCGCUCUCACUGGGAGGGGGUGCCGGUCAUGAGUUCCCUGGGACACUUCAUGCUGUCUUGAGAGGGAUCUCAGUUAUCUUCUCUGCCGGGAAUGAUGGCCCGGCACCACAAACGGUGACGAAUGUCGUGCCAUGGGUCACGACAGUGGCCGCUAGCACGAUGGACCGGGCCUUCCCAACCUUCAUAUCUCUCGGAAACAAAGAAAAGCUUGUGGGACAAUCUCUUUACUACAACUCUACUCUGAACAGCGACGACUUUAAGGAGCUUGUUCAUGCGGGAAGCACGGAGGAGUGGUUAGCGUCAAGCAAUGUGACCGGCAAGAUCGUGUUGUGCUACGCACCGAGGGAGGCUCGGAGCGUGUUGCCUCGGGUAGAGCUACCCCGCACCAUCAACCGUACCGUGAGUGCCAGAGCCAAGGGCCUCAUCUUCGCGCAAUACAACAUGAACAGCUUGGACUCCCUGACGGCGUGCAAGGCCGGCAUGCCAUGCUUGUGGUAG
rnacentral:rRNA from 1 species